GAUGAACGCUGGCGGCGUGCCUAAUACAUGCAAGUCGAGCGAACAGAUGAGGAGCUUGCUCCUCUGACGUUAGCGGCGGACGGGUGAGUAACACGUGGAUAACCUACCUAUAAGACUGGGAUAACUUCGGGAAACCGGAGCUAAUACCGGAUAAUAUAUUGAACCGCAUGGUUCAAUAGUGAAAGACGGUUUUGCUGUCACUUAUAGAUGGAUCCGCGCCGCAUUAGCUAGUUGGUAAGGUAACGGCUUACCAAGGCGACGAUGCGUAGCCGACCUGAGAGGGUGAUCGGCCACACUGGAACUGAGACACGGUCCAGACUCCUACGGGAGGCAGCAGUAGGGAAUCUUCCGCAAUGGGCGAAAGCCUGACGGAGCAACGCCGCGUGUGUGAUGAAGGUCUUCGGAUCGUAAAACUCUGUUAUUAGGGAAGAACAAAUGUGUAAGUAACUAUGCACGUCUUGACGGUACCUAAUCAGAAAGCCACGGCUAACUACGUG
rnacentral:rRNA from 1 species